UACGGGGGGGGCAAGCGUUGUUCGGAAUUACUGGGCGUAAAGGGCUUGUAGGUGGCCAACUAAGUCAGACGUGAAAUCCCUCGGCUUAACCGGGGAACUGCGUCUGAUACUGGAUGGCUUGAGUGUGGGAGAGGGAUGCGGAAUUCCAGGUGUAGCGGUGAAAUGCGUAGAUAUGCGGAGGAACACCGAUGGCGAAGGCAAUCCCCUGGGCCUGCACUGACGCUCAUGCACGAAAGCGUGGGGAGCAAACAGG
rnacentral:rRNA from 1 species